rnacentral:rRNA from 1 species
UACAGAGGGGGCAAGCGUUGUUCGGAAUUACUGGGCGUAAAGGGCGCGUAGGCGGCCUUCUAAGUCGAACGUGAAAUCCCCGGGCUCAACCCGGGAACUGCGUCCGAUACUGGAAGGCUUGAAUCCGGGAGAGGGAUGCGGAAUUCCGAGGUGUAGGCGGUGAGAUGCGUAGGAUAUCGGAAGGAACACCAGUGGCGAAAGCGGAGCUUCCU